AGGGGAUCUUCCGCAACGGACGAAAGUCUGACGGAGCAACGCCGCGUGAGUGAAGAAGGCCUUCGGGUCGUAAAACUCUGUUGCCGGGGAAGAACAAGUGCCGUUCGAACAGGGCGGUGCCUUGACGGUACCCGGCCAGAAAGCCACGGCUAACUACGUGCCAGCAGCCGCGGUAAUACGUAGGUGGCAAGCGUUGUCCGGAAUUAUUGGGCGUAAAGCGCGCGCAGGCGGUUUCUUAAGUCUGAUGCGAAAUCUUGCGGCUCAACCGCAAGCGGUCAUUGGAAACUGGGAGGCUUGAGUGCAGAAGAGGAGAGUGGAAUUCCACGUGUAGCGGUGAAAUGCGUAGAGAUGUGGAGGAACACCAGUGGCGAAGGCGGCUCUCUGGUCUGUAACUGACGCUGAGGCGCGAAAGCGUGGGGAGCAAAC
rnacentral:rRNA from 1 species